rnacentral:rRNA from 1 species
GAGUUUGAUCCUGGCUCAGGAUGAACGCUGGCGGCGUGCUUAACACAUGCAAGUCGAACGGAUUCAUAUUGAGACUUAGUGAUGUAUGAGUUAGUGGCGGACGGGUGAGUAAUGCGUGGAGAACCUGCCGUAUAUUGGGGGAUAACACUUAGAAAUAGGUGCUAAUACCGCAUAAGCGCACAGCUUCGCAUGAAGCAGUGUGGAAAACAAAAAGCUAAAGCUUUUGGUGGUAUACGAUGGAUCCGCGUCUGAUUAGCUUGUUGGCGGGGUAAAGGCCCACCAAGGCGACGAUCAGUAGCCGGCCUGAGAGGGUGAACGGCCACAUUGGGAGUGAGACACGGCCCAAACUCCUACGGGAGGCAGCAGUGGGGAAUAUUGCACAAUGGGGGAAACCCUGAUGCAGCGACGCCGCGUGAGUGAAGAAGUAUUUCGGUAU